rnacentral:lncRNA from 1 species
CAAAAGGGAGCCAACUCCUUCCCCGUCUGCCAUUUUGUACUCUUGGCCUAACGUUGACUCAAAACAGCAACUUGGAGCCUUCCCUGACCUGUUGUAACUACUUGGUUAGUGUAAAGCAGAGAGGAGAAUUAGGAGAGGCAGAUGGCAGAGAGGUCUGCCAUGGAAGAUUCAUGGAUGACAGGAGAGGCUGUGUUCCAGAAUGCAAGGAAGAAGAGCCCAAGGACCGUAGCAAGGCCCUGAUUCUGGGAGACAAGAGAACACGCUGACUUAGAAUGCUUGUCUCUGCAUCCUGGUCAGAAAGUAGAUAGACGACACUUUCAUCUCCGACUGGAUUUUGGUGAGAGAUGGGCAAACCCCCG